UACGUAGGGGGCUAGCGUUGUCCGGAUUUAUUGGGCGUAAAGAGCGUGUAGGCGGCCAGGUAGGUCUGCUGUGAAAACUCGAGGCUCAACCUCGAGACGUCGGCGGAAACCAUCUGGCUAGAGUCCGGAAGAGGAGAGUGGAAUUCCAGGUGUAGCGGUGAAAUGCGUAGAUAUCUGGAGGAACACCGGUGGCGAAGGCGGCAUCCUGGACCAACACUGACACUGAGGAGCGAAAGCCAGGGGAGCAAACGGG
rnacentral:rRNA from 1 species